rnacentral:rRNA from 1 species
AGUCGACGAAGAAGGUUAGAAUGAGAGCUUCGGCAGGAUUUCUUUCCAUCUUAGUGGCGGACGGGUGAGUAACGUGUGGGCAACCUGCCCUGUACUGGGGAAUAAUCAUUGGAAACGAUGACUAAUACCGCAUGUGGUCCUCGGAAGGCAUCUUCUGAGGAAGAAAGGAUUUAUUCGGUACAGGAUGGGCCCGCAUCUGAUUAGCUAGUUGGUGAGAUAACAGCCCACCAAGGCGACGAUCAGUAGCCGACCUGAGAGGGUGAUCGGCCACAUUGGGACUGAGACACGGCCCAAACUCCUACGGGAGGCAGCAGUGGGGAAUAUUGCACAAUGGGCGAAAGCCUGAUGCAGCAACGCCGCGUGAAGGAUGAAGGGUUUCGGCUCGUAAACUUCUAUCAAUAGGGAAGAAACAAAUGACGGUACCUAAAUAAGAAGCCCCGGCUAACUACGUGCCAGCAGCCGCGGUAAUACGUAGGGGGCAAGCGUUAUCCGGAAUUACUGGGUGUAAAGGGAGCGUAGGCGGCAUGGUAAGCCAGAUGUGAAAGCCUUGGGCUUAACCCGAGGAUUGCAUUUGGAACUAUCAAGCUAGAGUACAGGAGAGGAAAGCGGAAUUCCUAGUGUAGCGGUGAAAUGCGUAGAUAUUAGGAAGAACACCAGUGGCGAAGGCGGCUUUCUGGACUGAAACUGACGCUGAGGCUCGAAAGCGUGGGGAGCAAACAGGAUUAGAUACCCUGGUAGUCCACGCCGUANACGAUGAGUGCUAGGUGUNGGGGAGGAAUCCUCGGUGCCGCAGCUAACGCAAUAAGCACUCCACCUGGGGAGUACGACCGCAAGGUUGAAACUCAAAGGAAUUGACG